rnacentral:lncRNA from 1 species
AGUGGGAACAAGAAAAGGGAGAGGUCAUGUGGGAGAGAUAAGUGAAGUAGAGCUCAGCGCCCAGAGUGGCAGGGAGUGGGUGCCAGUGCAGAGGAACAUGGGGACAGCACGGAGUGUGAAGUGGCGAAGCAAAGCAAAUGCAUGCUAGUUAAAAGGCUGAAAGAUGAUCUACAAGAUGUUGAGAGCCAUCACCUUCAGAAUUGUGAUCAUCUGAGAUUUACAAUGCAGAAAAACAAAUACCUGCC